rnacentral:rRNA from 1 species
UCCCUGCGGGGGAAAGAUUUAUCGCUAUUAGAUGAGCCUAUGUUAGAUUAGCUAGUUGGUAGGGUAAAGGCCUACCAAGGCGAUGAUCUAUAGCUGGUCUGAGAGGAUGAUCAGCCACACUGGAACUGAGAUACGGUCCAGACUCCUACGGGAGGCAGCAGUGGGGAAUAUUGGACAAUGGGCGCAAGCCUGAUCCAGCUAUGCCGCGUGAGUGAGGAAGGCCUUAGGGUUGUAAAACUCUUUCAGUAGGGAAGAUAAUGACGGUACCUACAGAAGAAGUCCCGGCAAACUCCGUGCCAGCAGCCGCGGUAAUACGGAGGGGGCAAGCGUUGUUCGGAAUUAU